rnacentral:rRNA from 1 species
AUUGAACGCUGGCGGCAGGCCUAACACAUGCAAGUCGAACGGUAACAGGAAACAGCUUGCUGUUUCGCUGACGAGUGGCGGACGGGUGAGUAAUGUCUGGGAAACUGCCUGAUGGAGGGGGAUAACUACUGGAAACGGUAGCUAAUACCGCAUAACGUCGCAAGACCAAAGAGGGGGACCUUCGGGCCUCUUGCCAUCGGAUGUGCCCAGAUGGGAUUAGCUAGUAGGUGGGGUAACGGCUCACCUAGGCGACGAUCCCUAGCUGGUCUGAGAGGAUGACCAGCCACACUGGAACUGAGACACGGUCCAGACUCCUACGGGAGGCAGCAGUGGGGAAUAUUGCACAAUGGGCGCAAGCCUGAUGCAGCCAUGCCGCGUGUAUGAAGAAGGCCUUCGGGUUGUAAAGUACUUUCAGCGGGGAUGAAGGGAGUAAAGUUAAUACCUUUGCUCAUUGACGUUACCCGCAGAAGAAGCUCCGGCUAACUCCGUG